GCAUCGGUGGUUCAGUGGUAGAAUGCUGGCCUGCCACGCGUGCAGCCGGGGUUCGAUUCCCUGCCGAUGCA
rnacentral:tRNA from 1 species